rnacentral:rRNA from 1 species
UCAGAACGAACGCUGGCGGCAUGCCUAACACAUGCAAGUCGAACGAGGACCUUCGGGUCUAGUGGCGCACGGGUGCGUAACGCGUGGGAACCUGCCUUUAGGUUCGGAAUAACUCAGAGAAAUUUGAGCUAAUACCGGAUAAUGUCUUCGGACCAAAGAUUUAUCGCCUUUAGAUGGGCCCGCGUAAGAUUAGCUAGUUGGUGGGGUAAAGGCCUACCAAGGCGACGAUCUUUAGCUGGUCUGAGAGGAUGAUCAGCCACACUGGGACUGAGACACGGCCCAGACUCCUACGGGAGGCAGCAGUGGGGAAUAUUGGACAAUGGGCGAAAGCCUGAUCCAGCAAUGCCGCGUGAGUGAUGAAGGCCUUAGGGUUGUAAAGCUCUUUUACCCGAGAUGAUAAUGACAGUAUCGGGAGAAUAAGCUCCGGCUAACUCCGUG